GUGCUCGCUUCAGCAGCACAUGUACUAAAACUGGAAUGCUACAGAGAAGAUCAGCACGGCCCCUGCGCAAGGACGACAUGCAAAUUCAUGAAGCCUUCCAUGUUUUU
rnacentral:snRNA from 2 species